rnacentral:tRNA from 1 species
GACUCAGUGGUUUAGUGGUUAAGCGUUCGUCUGUGAGACAGAGGGUCUUGCGUUCGACCCCCGACGGGGUCG